UAGCGCCGCUUGCUCGGCUCGCCUCGUAACUUUUCGGCUCUCUUCGGGCCGCCAUAUUUAUUUUCGCGUCGAGUACGACGUACUUCGCGCUUUUCGUCAUUUGUGAAAUCGGUCGUGCGGUAAAGUGUCCAGCAAUCGUCCUACGAUAUUAAUUGGCUCUCGACGAAGGUACGAAACUCCGACGUGAUUUUCAUUCACGACAUUCCUCGCGUUUGCGUCGUCAAUUCAUACAUCCUUUAUCACAACCUUCGUAGUCACUCGGCUAUUCAUAUUCGCAUCGCGUCUAUUUUAAACAUCUCCGAGACGUGCUUCUCGCAUUCUUUCCGAUGGAAUCUUCGAUUUCGAAAGUGUCGAAAGUGUCGAAUGUGACAUGAUGGUGUUAAUUACGGUGUGAUGUGUGAAAACGAUCGCGUUCCUUCGUAAAGUGCGAUACCGCGUACCUGUUGCGUCGCGACAGAUUAAAAUGUCGGGAAUGUCGAUUUAAAUUUUCGUUAUUCAUCGUUAUCAAGUGUGUGUUAUUAUCCUUGAGGAUGAAUCGGCAGCAGAAACAGCUCGAAUCAGUUGGUGAUACCACAGCACUGCAGUAAAUAUAGUGAUUCAGGACAAUAAUAAAGCAGAUACAACAAGCAGAUCCAGAACAGCAGCGAUUGAGCAUCAUUUGGUAAUCCUGGUCAACAGUAGCCAGGCUCGAGUACUCGGUGAAUACGCACAAUGCAUUCCAAUUACGACUAUUAUGUCGUGAUAAUUAUUGCGGCAUCUUCAAAGUUUCAAACAAUGGCAGCCGCCGACUUGUUCGAGGGGUGGUUCGGUGAUGCGGAAGCAAAGCGGAUGAAAAAGAGGAGGAUCGGAGAAGAGGCGAGAAAACGACGACGGUGUCGCCGAAUCUAAGACAGUGGUUCUUAAACCCAGUCAUCUCUCUCGGAUUCUCAAAUUAUCUGCUCGCAUAUAUUUGUACGUAAAAAUAUAAUACGAAAGCUAUUUUCAUGGAAAUGUACACUUUUUACUUGAUCGAUCGAUGAUGAAAGGUCACGUGUGCGCUUUCAAAAAUUCAACGCAUUCCUGACUGAUGCGUGACAACCUGUAUCAAGAACCACUGACUGAAGGAGCAGGGAGAAAAACGGAAGGAAGCUGAAUGAGUGCGGUUAAAGUCUUUGUGUCUCCUCGUUCUUGACAUUUCAAAGAUUAUUCCUUCAGUCUCUUAUAUAAUUCAUUUAUCUCCCGAUACUCUGUAUCCCUCUUACGCUUUGAACACUUCGCGCAACGGCAAUUCCAUAACAAACUAAA